rnacentral:ribozyme from 1 species
UGCCUACGCAACUCCUAUCCCUACCUCCACGCGGUAAUGGCUGGGGUACGAGUAACCUGAGGGAAGAUCGGGCAACCAACCCCGGUGGGAUCACUGGUCGUAUGCUGACAGGGAAGG